AGCAAUAUGAUGUAAUUUGGUAAACAUAUUAGGCUCAUGACCUGAAUAUAUACGUUCAAAUCGUGUUGUUGCUA
rnacentral:tRNA from 2 species